UACGUAGGGUGCAAGCGUUAAUCGGAAUUACUGGGCGUAAAGCGCACGUAGGCGGCUUGCCAAGUCGGACGUGAAAUCCCUCAGCUCAACUGAGGACGUGCAUCCGAAACUGGCGAGCUUGAGUACUGAAGAGGAUCGCGGAAUUCCCGGUGUAGAGGUGAAAUUCGUAGAUAUCGGGAGGAACACCAGUGGCGAAGGCGGCGAUCUGGGCAGAUACUGACGCUGAGGAGCGAAAGCGUGGGUAGCAAACAGG
rnacentral:rRNA from 1 species